rnacentral:rRNA from 1 species
AUACGUAGGUGACAAGCGUUAUCCGGAAUUAUUGGGCGUAAAGAGUGCGUAGGUGGUUUUUUAAGCGCAGGGUUUAAGGCUACAGCUUAACUGUAGUUCGCCCUGCGAACUGAAAGACUUGAGUGCAGGAGGGGAAAGCGGAAUUCCUAGUGUAGCGGUGAAAUGCGUAGAUAUUAGGAGGAACACCAGUGGCGAAGGCGGCUUUCUGGACUGAAACUGACACUGAGGCACGAAAGCGUGGGGAGCAAACAGGAUUAGAUACCCUGGUAGUCCACGCCGUAAACGAUGAGCACUAGGUGUCGGGGGGAAGAACCCUCGGUGCCGCAGUUAACGCAAUAAGUGCUCCGCCUGGGGAGUACGCACGCAAGUGUAAAACUCAAAGGAAUUGACGGGG